AAUCUCUUUGACUUGAAAACACCAAACUUUAUAUGAAAUUUUUAUUUUUGUCUCAUGUCUUUCUCACUAAUCUAUCUUUUUGUUGUAAGUUUUUAACAAGAUGGUUCUCAUCUUCUACUUGGAUAUGUACUUUGUGUGUUAUAUAAAAGUAGAUCUAUAUAAUCUUCCACUCAUUUUCUCUUUUUUAAGUCAUUUGAACGUUUUUGGAUAUGCAGGUUUUUCAGAUUUGAAUUUGAUAUGCAGGUUUUUCAGAUCUGGAAGACUUCUAAGACGACUUACAUGUUAGUCGUCUAAAAUAUAAUGCACUAGACGACUUCCAGAAAGUCUUCCAGACUACUUCCAUUUCAGUCGUCUGGACUUUCUGAAAGUCGUCUGGACUUCCUGGAAGUCGUCUGGACUUCCUGGAAGUCGUCUGGACUUCCUAGAAGUCAUCUGGACUUCCUGGAAGUUUUCUCACAAAGUCUUCUUCAAUAUCAAGUGGAGUCCAAGCUUGUCUUUGUAGAGGAAUGAUUUAUAAUAAUUUUGUUUGUGGUCUAUUUUGUGAAUUGCAUGUCUACUCUUUUAGUUGUGAAUUUUUUGUAAAAUCAGUAAUAAUGUUUCCCAAGAUAUAAUACAUGUGCUAACAAUGUGUUUACACAUUUACAAAUCAAUGAAAUAAUAGACUUCAGUAGCGUUUUUCUUAUCUUUGAAUCUCUCAUAUGCAAUAAUAAACUCCAAUGGCCUUUUUCUCAUCUUAAUAAACAAGAAUGUUGGUAGCUUCAUAUUGAUACAACAUUUUAAGAAGCAUUUUAACCUUUUUCCAACUCAUAACAAUAAUCGUCAUUAGUGUUUAUAACAAUACUACUUAAGAGAUGGAAACAAACAAUAGUAACUAGUCAAAGCAUAUCAUAUUUUUUAUUUGAAAAACUUAGUCAAAUUUAAUAAAACUAAGGGAGAGAACAUAUUUUGUAAAUAUGAGUUUUACAUAUCUUGAAGUUACUUAUCACUCUUAAAAAUACAAGUUAUUCAAAAACUAGGGUAGAAGACUUAAAAACUAGCGCAUGGAAGUCUUCUCG